UUCUAACAACGAUCCUACAGAUCUGGAGUUCUGUAAGUCGAAAGUCGCAUCGAAAAAGAUGGCCUUUUUCACCCUUUAUAGACUUUGUCUAGACCUCACACUGGUUUCCACGUUUAGUACCCUAUCUUUAAUCCCUUCCAAUUCCAAAAUGUAGCUUUUUACUUGUUUGGAUAUAUCCUAACUAGUACUUGAUCUGCUUUCGUAUAAUAACUUGUUUCUGUUUGUCCAGAUAAGCCAGAGCCCGCAACAAAAACCCCUGCACUGUUCAUUUGUCCAUUGGCUGAAAACCCAGGGCAUAGAUGGAAAACGUGGAUACUAUCUUCUCAUUCCUGACCGUAUCUCAAACACCGAUCCUCAGCCAUCACUCUUCGUAGCUUCAGAUUGAAGAAAGUGGGAAUGUAAUUCCACGCUAUUUUCCAUACUGUAAUCUUGAUUUUUGAGGGCAUAUGUAAAUUCCAUAAUUUUCUAUAAAAAAUUUUAGUAUCGGUCUGUAAAUAAACACUAGGAUCUAUUGUAGCCUCUUGUAAUAGUUUAUAGGCACUCCUUACUGAAAAAUCUCAUUUUGCCUCCCCUCUCCAUACUUGGAUGUCUUCAUGGAUUGACUUUGAAAGCGAGAUCUGCAGUAUUUUCCUAGCAAUAUCCAUGUUAAAGCACCCAGAGAUCAUUCCAUACUGAAAUGUGGUCUCAUUUACCAACCCUCCAGCAUAAUCCAUCUGUAAAAAGUUUUUUUGUUAACCAAAUACUCCUCCAGGUAAGUGAAGGUAGGUUACUUAAAGGAACAUUUAAGAAAUUUGUUUUUGGAAAAUAUUUAGCUUUUAAAACUCGGGCUAACAAAGAACUCAGAUAAUUAAUAAGACGCCAACCCUGUUUUGCCAAUAAAGCUAUGUUGAAUUUAUCUAGACUUCUAAAACCUAGACCACCCAAUUCUUUUGCAAUGUAAAUGUCCUUCCAAGCACACUUAUGAAUUCCUUUUUUCCCCUUAUUUUUCUGCCACCAAAAAUUUGCAAUAAAAAUUUGCAAUAAUACCCUCUAAUUCCUUGCAAAAAGAUUUAGGGAGUAAAAAAUACAUCAUUGAGUAGGUUGGUAUAGAUUGUAGAACAACUUUGAUGAAAACCUCUUUACCUCCUUGUGAGAGAUAUCUGAUACUCCAAUUGUCAAUUCGUUGCUUAAAUUUAUCCUUCAGCAUC